rnacentral:lncRNA from 1 species
GCCCCCAGCACAUAGCUGUAUAUUCUAGUUCUGAGUGCCUCUGGCUAUGCUACAUGGACGCCACCUCAGCAUGGCCUGAUGAACGGUGCCAUGUCCACGCCCAGGAUCCGAACUGGCGAAACCCUGGGCCGCCGAAGUGGAGCGCUCGAACUUAACCACUCAGCCACGGGGCCGGCCCCAAUCAGACCCACCCUGGCUGCAGCUGGAAAGGAGGUGGCCCAGGGACAGGAGCAGACCAGCCAUCCAGCGGAGACGGCGGUGGCGCGGAGCAGGAAUCCUGCGGCUGAGGACAGGGCGUUAUUGAAUGACAGGGGAAAUAGUCAGGAGAGGACAACUUCAGGAGGAGCUUCUCAGAGAGGAAAUGGAAGCGACCAGUGCUUGCUGAGUGCCAGCGGUCAUACCCAGGACCCACCCACCCUUUCCUUCGGGUACCUCCCUCCACCCAAGAUGACCAUAUCAGCAUUUUCUCCCAGAAGCUUCUGCAACCAGAGCCAGCGGAAGGCAGAGGGAAGAAAAGUACUGAAUGACUUUGCAGAUUUUUCCGUCCAGUGCGAUUCCAUUAAUGCCAUUCCAGGCCUGCCUCCUGGAUGCCUGCCUGAUUGAUUCGGGGUCUAGGAACCAAUUUCGAAAUUUGGCUUUUCACAGCUAAAACCGGCAAUAACAUUUUACCCUGUUUGUAACGAGCAAGAGCCAGGAAUGGUCCCCCUUUGCCGCGAUGGUGAGGAAAUCUCAUCUGAGAAGCAGGUCCCGGCCCCCGGGGAGAUUAUUCUGGAUCGAGUGACAGGCCCGGCAGUAGCCGCCAGCUGCCAACAGCGAGCUCCUUCCAGCACAAGGAGGGGAAUCAAAGGCAAUCGCUCGGGAAACGACCAAGUCCCUCUGCCCAGACGUGGCCUCCGAUGGCUGCUGUUUGUCCCCCAGGCCUUUCUUCCACCCCCCUUUGGGGGACAGAGUUGUUCUGGGACCGUUGAUCUGAUGGGCAAGCCUCCUGUGGCCGUUAACAGGUGUUGCCGGGGGCGAGCAGCUCACAUUCUGAUCCAGUGACAUUGCAGGUAUUCCAGGGACACUCAGGGCCAGACCAGGGCUGCCACGUGAAUUCCAGCCUGGGACGGGGACACCAAUGGCUGGAGGACCGUGCUGGACACAGGUGCGGGACAUCUGCUCCCUGCCGCCGGUCUGGGUCAAGGCCCAGACUGCAGCCUUGCCUCCUCCGGUGGACACCCGUGGGUCUCCUUGGGAACCGUCUCCAGGCCGCACAAGAGUGUUACAUCUGCAGGAUGGUUCAUCGGGUCCCUUCAGCGGGAGCCUGAGGUUGCACCCUCAGCGUCUUCAGGAGACUGGGGGUAACGUGAAUCAGAGAGGUGGGCAGUGGGGCCUGUGACGGACUGACAAGGAUGUGCCCAGUCCAAAGUGGCCCUUGCCACACACCUCCCCCCACUGUCCGCACGUGGAAAGAGGGACAAAGAGACGAGUCUUCUGACUUUUCCAGCAGAACCAGAAGUUUGCUUUCAUGCAAAAUCUCUCAAUUAAAAAACAGGACAGC